GGAACAUGUCUGAAUAUGCAGGAUCUUCAGGAGAAGCCAUCCUCAACAUACAGGGUUCUGAAGACUAUCUACCUUCCUGAUCACCAUCAUUUUCUACAGUCUCAGGAGUUACCUGCCAAUGAUAGUGUCUCAGUCACAUCAUGUAUGUCACAUAGCCACAGUAUAUCACCUGUAGCAAAAAA